GAGUUUGAUCGUGGCUCAGAUUGAACGCUGGCGGCAGGCCUAACACAUGCAAGUCGAGCGGAUGACGGGAGCUUGCUCCUUGAUUCAGCGGCGGACGGGUGAGUAAUGCCUAGGAAUCUGCCUGGUAGUGGGGGACAACGUUUCGAAAGGAACGCUAAUACCGCAUACGUCCUACGGGAGAAAGCAGGGGACCUUCGGGCCUUGCGCUAUCAGAUGAGCCUAGGUCGGAUUAGCUAGUUGGUGGGGUAAUGGCUCACCAAGGCGACGAUCCGUAACUGGUCUGAGAGGAUGAUCAGUCACACUGGAACUGAGACACGGUCCAGACUCCUACGGGAGGCAGCAGUGGGGAUAUUGGACAAUGGGCGAAAGCCUGAUCCAGCCAUGCCGCGUGUGUGAAGAAGGUCUUCGGAUUGUAAAGCACUUUAAGUUGGGAGGAAGGGCAGUAAGUUAAUACCUUGCUGUUUUGACGUUACCGACAGAAUAAGCACCGGCUAACUCUGUGCCAGCAGCC
rnacentral:rRNA from 1 species